AAGAAUGCUUGAUGAUAAUCAUUCAGCGGUCAGACGUAAGCUACAUCUUGGCAGACGGAGAUCACAGAUUUUUUUUUUUUUUAUCAUGCAAUAAAGAAAAUAUUUUAAGAAAGUCUACAGAAUGGCAUCAUCUCUGGACGCGUUUAACAGGAGGACAGUUUCCCAUCAGUGAUAGUCGGUUAACAAGAUGGUAGAGACUAACCUCGUCGACGGUCGACCCUGGUCCUCCUAAAAUAGUUUCCAAGAUAAGGUUCAGACUCUUCACUCGGGCAGGUGUUUCAUGAGCAGCCCGUACAGACACGUAAAUUAGGAAUCUAACAUCAAGGAGAUAACUCUCUGGAACGAGCUGCUACGUCCAGGAAGGAUUCCCAUUCCGGCCUGGUGAACGUGAGAUAAAGAAACAACAGAC